UCACUCUUGUUUCACUUCAGAUCGUAUGAAUCUUUCGCCUUUUACUAAAGAUUUCUGUGGAGUGGAACAACAAGAGUUUUAUCCAAUUUUAUGAGAUGCCCUGCAC
rnacentral:snRNA from 1 species